rnacentral:rRNA from 1 species
ACCUUAAAGCUAGCCUAUAAACCAAUUUAACUAGACCUUAUAAAUCUAAUUUACACCACAAUUCUUAACCAAAACAUUUUUAACUUUUUAGUAUGGGUGACAGAACAAUAAC